GCCAGACAGCUAGCUUAACCACCAAAAUUAACCCAAUAAUAUAGAUAAUUUAGCAUUAAAUAAAUAAAAAAACUAAAUCAUUUUUCCACCUUAGUACGGGAGACGGAAAAGGUAAUUUAAGCAAUAGAGAAAGUACCGCAAGGGAAAGCUGAAAAAGUAAUGAAAUAAUUCAUUUAAGCACGAAAAAGCAGAGCUUAACCCUUGUACCUUUUGCAUCAUGAUUUAGCCAGCACUACUCAAGCAAAGUGACCUUUAGUUUGAAACCCCGAAACCAAGUGAGCUACCCCGGGACAGCCUUAAAGGGCGAACCCGUCUCUGUGGCAAAAGAGUGAAGGCCAAGUGAGCUACCCCGGGACAGCCUUAAAGGGCGAACCCGUCUCUGUGGCAAAAGAGUGGGAAGAGCCCCGGGUAGAGGUGAUAAACCUACCGAACUUGGUGAUAGCUGGUUGCCUGAGAAAUGAAUAGAAGUUCAGCCUCGUACCCCUUUAGCCAACCAAGAAAUGUCUAAAUAAGCACAAAAGAGAAAUACGAGAGUUAGUUAAAGGGGGUACAGCCCCUUUAAUAAAGGACACAACCUUAAAUAGGAGGAUAAGAGUCACAUUUUAUAAAACUAGUUGUUCCAGUGGGCCUAAAAGCAGCCAUCUGAGUAGAAAGCGUUAAAGCUCAAACAACAUUCAGUUUAUUAUACUGAUAAAUAGCCCAACUCCCCUAAGGAUAUCAGACCAUUCCAUGCCACCAUGGAAGAGACCAUGCUAAAAUGAGUAAUAAGAGGAUAUGAUCCUCUCCCAGCACAAGUGUAAGCCAGGUCGGACAAACCACUGGAAAUUAACGAGCCCAGUAAAAGAGGGCAAUGUGGCCAACAAGAAAAUCAAGAAAAUACCACAAUCUUUAUAUCGUUAAACCCACACUGGAGUGCUUCCAAGGAAAGACUAAAAGAAAAGGAAGGAACUCGGCAAACACAAGCCUCGCCUGUUUACCAAAAACAUCGCCUCCUGCAAACCCCUACGUAUAGGAGGUCCAGCCUGCCCGGUGACUACAAGUUUAACGGCCGCGGUAUUUUGACCGUGCAAAGGUAGCGCAAUCACUUGUCUUUUAAAUGAAGACCUGUAUGAAUGGCUAAACGAGGGCUUAGCUGUCUCCCUUUUCAAGUCAGUGAAAUUGAUCUACCCGUGCAGAAGCGGGUAUAUGCAUACAAGACGAGAAGACCCUUUGGAGCUUAAGGUACAAAUUCACCUACGUUAAGCAGCUUAUUAAGCAAGUGUAAACCUAAUAGAAAUUGGAAUUUUACCUUCGGUUGGGGCGACCAUGGAGAACAAAUAAUCCUCCAAGUGGACUGGGAUAAACCCUAGAACCAAGAAUUACACUUCUAAGUCACAGAAAUUCUGACCAAAUAUGAUCCGGUCAUAAGACCGAUCAACGAACCAAGUUACCCUAGGGAUAACAGCGCAAUCCUCUCCAAGAGUCCAUAUCGACGAGAGGGUUUACGACCUCGAUGUUGGAUCAGGACAUCCUAAUGGUGCAGCCGCUAUUAAGGGUUCGUUUGUUCAACGAUUAAAGUCCUACGUGAUCUGAGUUCAGACCGGAGCAAUCCAGGUCAGUUUCUAUCUGUAAUGUCAUUUUUCCUAGUACGAAAGGACCGGAAAAAAGAGGCCUAUGCUAAAAGUACGCCUUACCCCUAAUUAAUGAAGACAACUAAAUUAAGUAAAGGGAGGACUCAAGAUUAUAGGCCAAAAUAAGGCCUC
rnacentral:rRNA from 1 species